rnacentral:lncRNA from 1 species
AAAAUAUCUGACUCAUUAUUACUUUACAGAGUUUAGGAUGUUUUACAAGUGUGUGCCAUCACAAUUCCUAUCACUUAAAAGCAUUUUUCCCUUGUAGUUGAAAGCCUCUCUUGGAAUGAAUGUGAUCAGUGCCAUAACUGCAGGGAUAUCCAUUAUUCUGAUGGGUGCAGACAUAGGAAUCACCUCAUUGAUUCGUUCAAAUUGCUAUGGGUAUGACUGUAUAGAUCCUCAGGGGUUUGGUUCAGGGAUCCUUGGAAUAUUGCUGGUGUUCUCCAUCCUUCAGUUGAUCAUCUCCAUCUUUAUCUCAGCAUUUGUCUGCAAAGCCACCAACAGCACAGACUCUACAGUGAUCAAUGUGGCACUAAACCAGGGAUACUGAGUCACAGUAAGGAGAUACCAUCCAAAGGUUGCAAGGAAUUCAUAUUUGUAGUGUUGCUUCUGACUCAAAUAUUUGUCUUUCUUUCUAGUGUAUCUAUAAUAGUAAGAGAGUGAGAAUAUAUGGACACAUUUUAUAAUUAUUGGAAAAUUGAUCUUCAAACCCUGAUCAAACACAUAUGUACAAGCUAAUCAAUCAAGCUAGCCUUCAGGAUUUCUAAAAAAAAAAAAGACAGGCAGGUGAGUUGGUCAGGGUUGGAGCUAAACUCUACAGGACCAUAGAUCUUGAGGGCCAGAGUUGUGAAACCCUGUGUUAUCAACCACAUGUUGACAUUAUUUUUUAAAGCAAAACAUGAUUGGACUGAUAUAUGAGUCUUUUAAAUAAAGGUGACCACUUCAAAAAUCCUCAAUCCUACAAUGUUUGUCUGUCAUUAUUUCUGUGAUAUACAGUAGCUACGUCACCAUUUAAUACAUUUGCAUAAUACCCGCCUGCUGGCUACUGCUGGCCCUCAAACAAAGGUAGUU